AAAGCAAGGGGAGGGUGAGGCUCCGGUCUGAGGGUAAACACAUCCAUGAUGUGGGAGCAGGAAGAUGUCUUUGCAGGCUGGUGUCUAGGACUAUAGCCUCACAGGGUCACCAUGCCCCAUUAUGACCCAGAGGGGCCCAGAGCAAGGAAGGCAUGACAAAGGAGCCUGAAGACUUGAGGAGGCCUUGGAGCUGGGACAAGGAAGACACAUCAGGGAUCUACACGGACAGGAAACUACAGAGCAGAGACAACACUGAAAAGACCAGACACCAUAAUACAGAAAGAGGUGCCAUCUUGGAAGCAGAGAGGCCUUCACUAGACAUCAAAUUUGCAAGUGCAUCAAUCCUGAACUUCCCAGUCUCCAUAACUAUGAAAAGGAAACAGAAGUUGACGGGAAACUUGGAGUUGGGAAAGAAGAGGAGGCCAAGAAGUAUAACAGGUAGUAGAGUGGCUUUAGAGCCAGAUGAGGAAUUCAGAUUCUAGUCUCGAGGUAGAAAAGAAGCAGUAUAAAAUCCAAGGCCAAGAAAUGAGACAUGGAAAAUUAUGUGUGGAAGCAGUUAUCCUAGAUGCUUUUUUGAGACUGUUUUGUGAAGAUAGCCUGAAGGAAGGGUGGCCUAUUCCAGUGGUUCAGAAAGGAGAUAAGGGGCCACUUGGUUCACUGUAAGCCCUUGAAAAUAAAGAAAAGAAACAGGCUGAAUCAAAAGAUAUUAUUGGGUGAGAACUGCCAGAGUUUAGUGACUGACUGAAUGGUAAUGAAGGGCAAAAGAAGAAAAGAUGUAAAAAUGGUCCUGGUGCUGGGACCUCAGGAAAGGGUCCCAUAGACAGCAAUUGAAAAAGAAAACUGAUGGCUAGAGCAGAAAAUGUGCUGGUCAGUGGUAGAGCAUCCAAAUGAGUAGGGGUAUAUGCAUGUGAGUGCAUGUGUGUUACUAUAGGCACACAGAUUUAGGAGUAAUGUCUCCUUUGCCCUAAUGUUAUGUAAGAGCUUACAAUUUUCUUUCAAUUAAAAUCUUUAUUUCAAGUAUUUAUCAAGUGCCUACUAGGUGUAAAGUUUACAGUAAGACUAUGUGCAAGGUUUACAAUAAGGAAAUAUAAGUUAUAUUACUGAACAGAAACUAGUUUAAACUUUAAUGCAACAUUAUUUAAAGAGUGUACUUUCAUUUUUGUAUUAAUUUUCUAUUAUUUGUAAUUCUUAGGCCACAAACAUAACAGUGCCUUCAUUAGUGCUAGAUAUGCCACCUUGACAGAAUUUAAAAUGAACUAAUUUUUCUUAGUGUACUUGAAUAUCUUCUUUUUCUUAAAUAGUGGCUAUGCAUUUGGAUGAAGCCAUUGAAUAAGACAGAUUUUGGCUUAAACUUCCACUCAGAUCAGUCCUGAGAGUAGGCCAUGUGGUUUGGUUCUCUGUAAGGGACACAUGUGCAUGUGCAUUUCUCUGCCUCGCUCAGAUUAGCCUUAUGGCCAUGGUAUCAGAACUGUAAAUAGUUAUACCGUGGAUUCUUUCUUGUUUGUGGGUGAGAGGAGAAAGGAAAACUCACACUUAUUUCAACAAAGCACCAUGUAGACAUUCAACUGCAGUGGGCUCUGUUCAUCCUCAGUUUAGGUGUGAUGAAACCUGCAGGGAAUUGACCUUCAGUACAGACCUUUUACACUGUCUCAUUUCUCUCAUGUAACUUCUCUAAGGAUCUGAAGAGACCUAAGAGAUCAGUUAGUCUCAGAAUUAAGUUCAUCUACAGGUGCAUCAAAAGGAUGUCAGGUUUUAAAAACACGACAUACUAUUUCUUUUGUUUUUCUUUUCUUUCUUUUUUUUCUGUGAGACAGUUUCACUGUGUCACCCAGGCUCAUGCCUCAGCCUCCCAAGUAACUGUGAUUACAGGUGUGCACCACCAUGCCCAGCUAAUGUUUGUAUUUUUAGUAGAGACAGGGCUUUGCCAUGUUGGCCAGGCUGGUCUCAAACUCCAGACCUCAAGUGAUCCUCCUGCCUUGGCCUCCUAAAGUGCUGGGAUUACAGGUGUAAGCCUCUGUGCUCAGCCUAUGACUGGACUAUUUAUUAAACUUUAAUAUAAAGCAAAGGUUGCAUAGACAAUAGAUGUAGGCAGCUCAUUUCUUAAUAAUUAUUAAGAACUGAAAACUCACAUUGAAGAAAACUAGUCAUGAAUAAGAAAAUAACUUCUUCACAGUGGUUAAAGAAAAAAGGCACCAAAAGAAAUAAACAAACAUAUGAAAGCCUCUUACUAUACUAAGGUAUUACUAUAUUUAUUUCUGACCUUUGGCUACUGAGAAAAUAUGAAAGAUGACAAUUCUAUAGCUAUUCUAUAUAAUGGCAGAUGCUCCUCUUAUUCCAGAAAAGAAAAUCCUUUUAUAAUAUUUCACUAAAUAGCUAAUCAAAGAGUAUUUUACGUGCUCAUUUCAGAUAGUCUCAUUCACUUGUCUUUAUAAGUUUAAAUGAGUUCUUUUCUUAAGCAGGCUACCUUGUGUAUCAUUUAUGAUAAAAUACUUUCUUUAAGUUAGAGUCAGUGUUAAUUUUGUACUAUAUGACUUAGUAGAGUGGGACAAUUACAUCUAACACUUCUUCUAUCAGCCUUGUGUUUCUAUGUUCUAUACUAAGAUAUUAUCAAAGUAAUAGCAAAAUCCUGUUAAAUGUUCAAUGUAUAUCUUUACUGCUAAUUGUUUUUUCAGCAUAGUAAUAUUACUGGUACCACAGCAACACCUCAUAUCUUGAAUCUAUGCAGUACAAUUCAUUCUCUACGAUAGCAUUAUUUUCUUUUUGUAAACAGAAAUUUGGCUUUAACACUGCAAUUUUCACCGAACUAUACAAGUGCUAAUGAUGCCCAGUUUAGGACAUAAACAAUUUACUACUGUCCUUCUUUGAGCCUUUCUCUUUUUUCACUUCUCUAAUCAUCACACUAAGGAUAUUAUUUUCUAGAAAGCUAUGGGCAGAGUCCAUUUCACAAUGGGUUACAAGUUGACCCUUUUUCUUUUAAAACUCAUGCUAUUAAUAGACUUUUGGUGACUCUGUCAGUUAAGAAGUAUACCUUGUACCUGACAUUUUUCUUGUCUAAGCAACUGGCCCCAACUAACUCAUUUUUAAUAUUUUGCUUUUCUGCUUACUCACUUUUCCUUCCAUAAAAUAUUUUUUCUAGUUCUAUAGAACUAUAAUUUCUUUAAUUAUUUUUCCUUCCCUUAUCAAAUUCCAUCUCAUUUUUCUUAUGUAAUUAAAAUAUUUCCUCAGUACAUUUUGGGUAAGUGGCCAGUUGUAUUUACAUCACUUUUUCCAUAGAUUGGUUGAUGAUGUGCUUAGAUUAUAUAUGAUGAUGUGCAUAGAGUAUAUACACUAGCCAAGCUGAUCCCCAUUCACUGUGGAUAGGCUGAAGUCCAAAUUGCAAGUUGAUCUGUCAACAGCUUUGAGUAAGCCUGACGCCAGACAAAACUUUAAUUCUUUAGUGAUAUUUCUUCUUCACUUAAGGAGGAAGCCUUGAAGAUGGUAAGUUAAUAAGUGCAUUGUUUUAGCUUUCUAAAUAAUGCUUUUUGAGGGGUUGUUUUAAAGAUUCUCAUUUACUCUUUUCAAAGAAAGUUAUAGUUUCUCAUUUUCUGGUUCCUUUCUUGAUAUCUUUAUUUUAUUUCAGUGUGUGGAUUUGCUCUACUUUAAAAAACUCAUAACUUAUUGGUUAUUUUACAGAUGCCAAGAUAUAGCUUGUUUGUUUGUUUUUUUGAGACAGGGUCUCAGUCUGUCACCCACACUGGAGUGCAGUGGCGUAAUCUCUGCUCACUGCAAUCUUAGCCUCCCUGGUUCAAGCAAUUCUUGUGCCUCAGCCUCCCAAGUAGCUGUGGUUACAGCUGAAGUUCUCUAAGUCAUGAAGAGAGAAGAUAUCAAAGAGUAGGAAAUCUAGCCCCAAAAGAUCACAAAAUCAAGGACAGUGACACCUUCCUAAGCUUUUUAUUUGAUUCUUCCUGUUUAUUUGUUUACUUUCCUUAGUCAUUCACUAAUCGGUUCUGCUUUAGAACCAUUAAAAUAAUACAAAAGUUACAGAAACUUGGUAAAAUAUUUCUUUGGCCUAUUUCCAAACCACCCAAAAUUAAUGGGAAAUGGUUAAAGUCAAAAAAGCUUUUUCUCUGACAUGGAUUUCUAAACAAUAUAAUUAUGGUUCACUCCAUGGUUAUGAGCUUUGGGAGCUCCCACAAAAAAGUCUUUGCUACAGAUGUGGCCACUGGCUGCUAUACCAGGCAAUUUGAUUCAUGUUUGCUGUUGUUAAAAAAAUACAUAAAACUCUCUUAUGUUGGAUUAAGAGGCUUUUAAGAGGAAGCUAGACACAAAGGCCAGGUCUCUCUCUAUUUGCUCAUUCAUGACAAAGGUAGAAGCUUCGAAUUUGUGAUACAUGUGAAGAAUGUGUGACAUUUUUGCCUUCAGAAUUAUUUUUUCCAUCAUUUUAUUUUAUAUAAACACUCAAAAAAUAAGUCCAAACUAAACUAGUGAUGCUUGGUCACUCCAAGAAGUAUCCUCAAUAUAGCUUAACAAAUUUACCCUUUUCUCUUCAAAUCCAUAUUUAUUUUCUGAGACAGUUACAUGAAGUUUUGCCAAGAAAGUAACUGGGAGCAAUAACUUUUGUUUAACUGGGCUUUUAGAUUUGAGAAGCAAUCCAAUCCAAGACUGCGCAGGAAGACUUCCACAGCAAUUGGAUACUAGUGACAUACAAGGACCUUAAGAACUCCACAAUUUUAUACUCUGUAUAAAUGUAUGAUGUGGUACCUAAGAGUGUCUUUCUAAAGGCAACCAAGGACCUCUUCAGUGAAAUAUUGAAGGCAAGGGAUGCCUGAAAUGAUUAAAAGAAACAAAGCUUUCCCAUAGCACAUGUCCUUUUCUUUGUAAGGAGAUGAGGUAAUAUAUAAUCUUCCCAUGUUACUACCACAAGGGCAAUUUGUGGGAGGGAGAGAUGGAUUUCUGGGAGUGAAAUUCAACUGCAUAGCAAGGGCUAUUUUUGGAAAGGCUUAUCUUCAACAUCCUCAUUUCAGAAUUGGUCUCUUUGCUCAGAGCAAUACCUUGGGCAACACUGAGAACUCCCAUCUCUAAGGUAAGAACAAAAGUUAUUUCUUCAUUGAUGGAAUAUCUGAUGAAGAAAAAGGAAGACAAAAAAACAAUAAAUUAUUCUCAUAAAAGGUGAUGCAUAUGAAUAAAUGUCAAACCCUUCUGCUAUUUCUCAUGUGGCUUGUACACAAGACUUCUAUUUGAUCUUUGGCUCUGCAGUUUUUACCACUAGAUGACCCAAAUGUGUAAUCUGGAUAGGCAGCUAGUUUGCUUAUAUAUAAAUUAAAUGGCUUCAAGUGUCAACAGUCCUCUGUAUCUUUUUAAUAUCCCACAAAUUGCUUCAAUUAGGAACAGCUACAAAGAACCUUACCAUAGGACAUGGAAUUCACACUUGCCAAAGAAAUCACUGCACGUGUAAAUUAGAAACUAAUCAUUACUUCCUCUCUGGAUAUAGUGGCAGGUUUGCCUCAUAGUUUAUGUUGAAAUAUACAUUUUUAUGAAAUAUUUCUCACUGCAGUCAGCAUCAAUUUAGGAGUAUCAAACACUGAUUCCCAGUCCUGGCACGCCAGAAAACUAGAAGUGCAGACAAAGGGAACUGACAAAGGCCUGGACUUUUCUUAUACUUGAAGAAGCUAAUUGUAUUUGUAAAUUUCUGGCUAAAAACCUGACAAUUAUCAGAUCUGCCACUGCAAGGCUAUUCCUCAAUUUCUUCAGCACAUAUUUUUCCCUGAAGUCUCUCAGAGAAGUAAUGGGCUUUCAGAGAUGAAAAUGAACUUGACAAUCACGCUGCAACUCAAACUGAUCUUGAUUCUUUUCGUCACUUUUUAAUUCAUUGCAGAUGGUGUAAAUGGGAUGUUUACUGGGUGGCAAGUAAUGAGUCUUGUUGUAGAUAAUAGUGAUGGACAGAAUCUCACACCUGUCAACAUCCCAGCAUCUCAGCAGCUAUAUAUGGUUAUCACCCAUUGCUUUGAAGCACAUGUAAUAUUGUGACAGGAUGCACAAUGUUUCUCCCACAGAAACGAUGGUUGAUACACCUGAAUCUCACUAGUUCACAUAUCAAUUGUCCUGAUUCCAUCCUCACUGUCCACAUGAGUAGACAUUCUAAGAUGUGUUCUAAUGGAAAAUGUAAUCUGUUUAAACAUCCAGACACUCCUCUUCUAAGGUACCACCAUUUAUCACAACUGUCAGUGCUUCUGUGGAAGAGUAAUGACCCUCAAGCAUGGGAUAAUGCUCCAUAGGGACCUUAUGAAUGCCACUGCCAAGCACAGAAAUUGAUUGGUUUUCAGUGGAGCUGGUAUGUGCAUCAUCAAAGACCUGCACUUACUCGCUAAAUUACAAGUGGCUGUUUACCCCUUACACAGUAAAGCCUAGGUUAGGAAGCAACAGAGGCUGCUGACUUUAAUUGUCCCAAACAUGUGAGUACUAGGUUAGGACCCACCAUUGAAAUGGACUUAAGCAGCUUGAACCUGGAAGUUGGAUCAGAGUCAUUAAAAAAUUCAUUGGGAGAUAACAUAGAUAUUGUUGCCUUCCCCUCUUUUUUUCUUUUUUUAAAUCUUCUCUAUCAAUGGAAGAUAAUAACAUCCCAUGAACCACCAUUAGCAAUUAAAAACUAAACAGAAUAAGCAUGCCAGUGAAAAGUUAACUAUUUGCUUCCUUCUUGUAAGCUUCCCUUCAUCCAGAAGAAGAUCUGGUUCUGGAUCUGUUCAUAUAUUGCUUCUCAAAGUAGAACAAAAGAUGAACAGUUAUGUGGUAUGAACUCAUGAUUUUCAAGUCUCUCCAGUGGGUCUACUUCCUCAUUGAUCAUUUCCUUGAAGUCCUCCAUACCUUGCCAAUCUUAUCUACAAUUUCUAUCAAAUUGCCUUAGAAGACAGGAUCACUUGCACUCUACAGACUGUUUACAUCUCAGUAUAUGCCCUAUCGCUAUCAAAGUUUCAUCUAAGACACAUCUGUUCCUCAGUGCUUGGACAUCCUGAAGAUACCCUUCAGGAUGUAGCAUUCAUAUGAAGUCACAAAAUACCAGUUGAUCUUUCUAUGGUAAUUGUUUUCCAAUCUGUAUGAACUGAAUGGCUCAACUAAAUAAAUGAAGAAAAUGAAAUAUUUUACUCAGUGAUUCAUUCCAUAUUUAAGAUAAUACACUAAGUAAUGAAUGGCCCUGUGGAAUCAUUAUAGUUAUGAGCAUCUUUUCCACUUGAGAGUUCUCUGUUCCCCUCACAGUUGAGAGUUUUUAUGCCCAAAUUAACUAUACAUUUGGUAUUCACAAUAUUCUGAUUAUUAGUUUCUCCAAAGAUGGGACUUAGGCACUUUCCUGACAAGAGAAGCUUACAAUUAGAUGCAUCUUAAUAAUUAAUAAAAUUAAUGAGAUAAUGAAAUUGGAAGAUCUCAGUAUUCUGCUGAGGAUGAAGAAAUCUUUUUGAGAAUUAGUAAUGUUCAGCCGGGCGUGGUGGCUCACAGCUGUAAUCCCAGAACUUGGGGAGGCUGAGGCAGGCGGAUCACAAGGUUCAAAGUUUGAGACCAGUCUGGCCAACAUGGUGAAACCCAGUCUCUACUAAAAUACAAAAAAUUUGCUGGGCGAUGCCUGUAGUCCCAGCUAUUCAGGAGGCUGGGGCAGGGGAAUCACUUGAACCCGGGAGACAGAGGUUGCAGUGAGCCGAGAUUGUGCCUCUGCACUCUAGCCUGGUGACAGAGCAAGAUUUCAUCUCAAAAAAACAAGAGAGAGAAUUAGGAAUGUUCCAAAAGACAAUAAACACAAUCAGACAGUGAACUGAGCAAAAUGUCCUUUGAUGUAAAGUGUCAGCUAGAAAUGUCAAUCCAAUUCAAGACUGCAUACAAAGGGACAUUGUGUCUUUGAGCUAAAGGUAUUAAGUUACCUGAUUAUCUUCUCCGGAAGAAUGCGUUAUGGUUUGGACACUUUUAUUACCUGAAAGAUGUAGACAAAUUAGGGAAGAUUAACAACCAGGUUUAUUAGUAAGUAGCAGAUGAGCUGGUGUGAAUGGUACUGGUUGUCAGGCGUUCUGUAUUCUCUUCUCAGCUUUGAUAUGCGCUCAUGCAGGAAUAGUCAUUCUUGAAAUUUAGAUAGGAUAAUUUAUAUUCUUUUCACCAGAGAAAAGACAGUUUGGGAAUGAAAGGGAGGGGAAGUGUUUAAAACAGCAUAAGGACCUGAGGUAACAGAAAGGUCAGAAAUUCUAUUACAGACUUUUUCAACUCUCAUUUAAAAAACACAACCAACAACAACCAGUUGUUAAGCCUUUAUUUGAAUAAGCUCAGUACAUUUAGUAUUUGCAGUAUGUUUUUAAUAUAUAGUACUUAAUUGUUUUUGGUCUACAAAAUAAGGCUAUUUCAUGAUACUAUAUUAUUAUGUUCAUGUUUCCCUGGAAAUAUAAUUUGCAAGGUCAUUCUAGGAACUCUGAUUAUGAAAUUCAACAUCACUUUAAGUGAGUUAUCCUGAACUCUAAUGCAGUUUCUUGUCUCUUCAUAUUUACCCUGGAGCUAUAACCUAUAGUCUUACAGAAAUGCCCUUUUGGAAGAGGCUCCUACUCUUGGCCUUCUGAAUGACUGUCUAGAUAUAUUUUCAUCUAUAAUUGCAUACUACACCAAAUUUGCAUUAUAUAUAAAUGUCAUUGAGAAAUGAUUAAUAUAAUUUUUUAGUUUAUUAGUGAAAAUAGGUGGGCCAUAAGCUAAAAAUAAACCAUUAUUUUUACACAUGGCAUUCCUAGUUGUAUUUAUUACAAUUUACCAUUUACUAAAGUAUUUCAAUUGGUUAACAAGGAAUAAUAGAACUAAACUUCUUUCAAGCAAUAUUGGUGACUCACUAUAACCCUAAUAAAAUAAUAUAUUCCCUCAGACUUAAUCUUUUAGUUCUAUUGGGAAACACCUAUAAACCAAAGAGAAUUUCUUCCUUUUCUGAUGUUCAUUCAAAUUACAUUACCUAUUUCCACCAUUCAGUAUGGUAAUUUCUGGGAACUACCUUGACGGAUGGAUAGUGGUAAAGAAGCAAACAUUUAAAUCUAAUUUAAAGGGACAGAAGAAGGUUAUAGGUAACCUGUGAUCUUAGGCAGUUUUCAGGAAACAGAGGAAUCACAGUUGUGAUGAAUCUUAAUAAAACUGGCCCAUAGUCCCAAUAAUUCCCUUACCUAUUGAGAUUCCUGGUUGCUAAGGGCUUUAUCAGUUACUUCAACAAUCCUCCUUCUCUGAAAAUAACAGUACCUCAUUGUGAACAACACUAGAUUGUACUCACAAUUCCUUUUCCCUUUCUUUUCAGAAAGAACAAUUUAGACCCCUAAAUAAUACUAUAAAUGGCUAAAGACAUAGGACAUGCUAAACCUCAUGAAUCAGUUUCUGUUCUCUUGGCUGCUCAACAAAAGACAUUGCAAAUUCUUCAUGAGGCAAUGUAUUACACUGCCGUGAGAUUACUUUUUGUCUUCAACUUUCGACAUUUCUUAAGCAUUAAUUGGGAUUACUUUCUUUUUGCUCCUCUACAACCCAUUCUCUACACAGAAACUACAGUGAUUUCUUUCAAUGUGAGAUGAGAUUCUACUACGUAAAUCAUCAAUGGCUGCUUACUGUGACUAGAAUAAAAUUCAAGCUUCUCAUUCUGCAGUCUAUGUAGUCUGGUUCCAGAUUCCUUCUCUGAACACAUCUCCAAGAUACUUUUCCUCAUUCACUGACCUAUUAUAAUUCACAUGCCUAGCUCACUUGAGCCUUAGGGCCUUUGAAAUUGCUAUUCCAAUUUGCCUGAAAUGAUUUCCCUUCAUUUCAUUGAAUGAUUUCCCUUCGAUGAUGUCUGGUUUCUAACAUCAUUCAGGUCUCAACCAAAUGCCAUCUCCUUAAAUGCUAUCUGUAUGAGGUUUUACUCUUAUUUUCUUCACUUCACUCUUCAUUGUAUGUUAGCAAGUUUACAUAUUUAUUAACUAUCUCCCCUAAGUAGAAUGUUCUAGGACCUCGUGAGCUCUGAUCACUACUGUAUCUCCAGUAUCUGGAACAGUAGGUGCUCAACAAAUACUUGCUGAAUGAAUGAAUAAAUUAAUGACCAAACAGUAAAUAAAUAAGUAGUAAACAAAGCCAAUAUCAGUGCUCUUUAUUAUAGUAGUCACUUAAUUGUACCUCAAAAUGCUCUAAAAAUAAAUAUGUACUUUCCCUGAAUAUUAGGAUUAAAAAUACUCAGUUUAUUAAUUAAAAGCCAGGACUUCAAUUUACAUUAAUGACUGGUCCAAGAUCACACGGUAAAUAUAUAUUGCACAAUUCUAGUCUAAAAUCUUGUCAGCCCAAUCAGUCCUAGAGUGAUUUUCUUAGAACACAAUUGUGAACUAGGGAUAAUCUAAGGUCCACCAACAGGCUUAAGGGGGUUUAUGAAUCCUUUGAAAAGUUAUUGCAUCCUUUUUUGGGAAGAGGGUCCAUAGCUUUUAUCAUCUUAUCAAUGGAAGCCAUAAACUAUAAGAGGCUGGGAAUCUCUUUAAGCAAUACCAUUCCAAAACAAAUUAUUCUUAAUCCUCCGUAGGUAGAUUGGAAAGGCUACUGCCUUCAACAUUUUCUGUAGAGAAGGAACACCUAUGAAACUCCUAUCCCUUGCUGAGUAGACAUAUUCUCCUUUCUAGCACCAAGUCUGGGGCAUGGUGGGCCUCCCAGGUUGACUAUCCCUUCUUGGAGCUCAUGGGGAAAGGAUGUCUGGUACAAUGAAGAUGAGAAGGUAUCAUUCUAAUCAUGUUUUUGAUUAAAGGAAAGCCACUGUGCUCUUAGAUUGUGUUUGUAGCAUUUUUAGUUUAAUUUCAGGGAUGUUAUUGUAGCUGUGAAACUAGAUAAUAAUAAGAAAAAACUAAUUCCUAGGUACCAGAAAGUCAACAUGAAAAAAUAUAUAAUUCUAAAUGUAGGUCAAAUUUUAUAUUUAUCAGCAUUGAUCUAGUGCUAUU